CCUACGGGUGGCAGCAGUGGGGAAUAUUGGUCAAUGGAGGAAACUCUGACCCAGCAACGCCGCGUGAAUGAUGAAGGUCUUCGGAUUGUAAAGUUCUUUUCUAAGGGAAGAAGAAAGUGACGGUACCUUAGGAGUAAGCCUCGCCUAACUACGUGCCAGCAGCCGCGGUAAUACGUAGAAGGCGAGCGUUAUCCGGAAUGACUGGGCGCAAAGGGUGCGUAGGUGGUUUGGAAAGUGAAUAGCUUAACUCCAAGGCUCACCCUUUGAACUACUACUAAGACUGUUGGACUUGAGUGCAGGAGGGGCAACCGGAAUUCCUAGUGUAGCGGUGGAAUGCGUAGAUAUUAGGAGGAACACCAGUGGCGACGGCGGGUUGAUAGACUGUAACUGACACUGAGGCACGAAAGCGUGGGGAGCAAACAGGAUUAGAUACCCUUGUAGUC
rnacentral:rRNA from 1 species